rnacentral:rRNA from 1 species
UACGUAGGGGGCAAGCGUUGUCCGGAUUUAUUGGGCGUAAAGAGCGUGUAGGCGGCCAGGUAGGUCUGCUGUGAAAACUCGAGGCUCAACCUCGAGAUGUCGGCGGAAACCGUCUGGCUAGAGUCCGGAAGAGGAGAGUGGAAAUUCCUGGUGUAGCGGUGAAAUGCGUAGAUAUCUGGAGGAACACCGGUGGCGAAGGCGGCGUUCUGGACUGUAACUGACACUGAGGAACGAAAGCCAGGGGAGCAAACGG